GUGCCAGCAGCCGCGGUAAUACGUAGGGUGCGAGCGUUGUCCGGAAUUACUGGGCGUAAAGAGCUCGUAGGUGGUUUGUCGCGUCGUUUGUGUAAGCCCGCAGCUUAACUGCGGGACUGCAGGCGAUACGGGCAUAACUUGAGUGCUGUAGGGGAGACUGGAAUUCCUGGUGUAGCGGUGAAAUGCGCAGAUAUCAGGAGGAACACCGAUGGCGAAGGCAGGUUACUGGGCAGUUACUGACGCUGAUGUGCGAAAGCGUGGGGAUCAAACAGGAUUAGAUACCCUGGUAGUCCACGCCGUAAACGAUGAGUGCUAAGUGUUAGGGGGUUUCCGCCCCUUAGUGCUGCAGCUAACGCAUUAAGCACUCCGCCUGGGGAGUACGACCGCAAGGUUGAAACUCAAAGGAAUUGACGGGGGCCCGCACAAGCGGCGGAGCAUGUGGAUUAAUUCGAUGCAACGCGAAGAACCUUACCUGGGCUUGACAUAUACAAGACAGGCGUAGAGAUACGUCCUCCCUUGUGGUUUGUAUACAGGUGGUGCAUGGUUGUCGUCAGCUCGUGUCGUGAGAUGUUGGGUUAAGUCCCGCAACGAGCGCAACCCUUGUCUUAUGUUGCCAGCAUUUGGUUGGGGACUCAUGAGAGACUGCCGGGGUCAACUCGGAGGAAGGUGGGGAUGACGUCAAAUCAUCAUGCCCCUUAUGUCCAGGGCUUCACACAUGCUACAAUGGUCGGUACAACGCGCAGCGACACUGUGAGGUGGAGCGAAUCGCUGAAAGCCGGCCUUAGUUCGGAUUGGGGUCUGCAACUCGACCCCAUGAAGUCGGAGUCGCUAGUAAUCGCAGAUCAGCAACGCUGCGGUGAAUACGUUCCCGGGCCUUGUACACACCGCCCGUCACGUCAUGAAAGUUGGUAACACCCGAAGCCAGUGGCUCAAACUCGUUAGGGAGCUGUCGAAGGUGGGAUCGGCGAUUGGGACGAAGUCGUAACAAGGUA
rnacentral:rRNA from 1 species